UACGUAGGGUGCGAGCGUUAAUCGGAAUUACUGGGCGUAAAGCGUGCGCAGGCGGUUUUGUAAGUCUGACGUGAAAUCCCCGGGCUUAACCUGGGAAUUGCGUUGGAGACUGCAAGGCUGGAGUCUGGCCGAGGGGGGUAGAAUUCCACGUGUAGCAGUGAAAUGCGUAGAGAUGUGGAGGAACACCGAUGGCGAAGGCAGCCCCCUGGGUCAAGACUGACGCUCAUGCACGAAAGCGUGGGGAGCAAACAGG
rnacentral:rRNA from 1 species